CCCUGGGCUUGCGGUGGGUACGGGCAGGCUUGAGUGCGGUAGGGGAGACUGGAAUUCCUGGUGUAGCGGUGGAAUGCGCAGAUAUCAGGAGGAAUACCGGUGGCGAAGGCGGGUCUCUGGGCCGUUACUGACACUGAGGAGCGAAAGCGUGGGGAGCGAACAGGAUUAGAUACCCUGGUAGUCCACGCUGUAAACGUUGGGCACUAGUUGUGGGGGCUUUUGUUGGUUUCCGCGACGUAGCUAACGCAUUAAGUGCCCCGCCUGGGGAGUACGGCCGCAAGGCUAAAACUCAAAGGAAUUGACGGGGACCCGCACAAGCGGCGGAGCAUGCGGAUUAAUUCGAUGCAACGCGAAGAACCUUACCAAGGCUUGACAUGCACCGGACGACCUUAGAGAUAGGGUUUCCCUUUGUGGCUGGUGUGCAGGUGGUGCAUGGUUGUCGUCAGCUCGUGUCGUGAGAUGUUGGGUUAAGUCCCGCAACGAGCGCAACCCUUGUCUAGUGUUGCCAGCAAGUAAUGUUGGGGACUCUCUAGAGACUGCCGGGGUUAACUCGGAGGAAGGUGGGGAUGACGUCAAAUCAUCAUGCCCCUUAUGUCUUGGGCUUCACGCAUGCUACAAUGGGCGGUACAGUGGGUUGCAAUACCGUGAGGUGGAGCUAAUCCCCAAAGCCGUUCUCAGUUCGGAUCGUAGUCUGCAACUCGACUACGUGAAGGUGGAGUCGCUAGUAAUCGCAGAUCAGCAUUGCUGCGGUGAAUACGUUCUCGGGUCUUGUACACACCGCCCGUCACGUCACGAAAGUUGGUAACACCCGAAGCUCAUGGCCUAACCACGUUUGUGGGGGGAGUGGUCGAAGGUGGGAUUGGCGAUUGGGACGAAGUCGUAACAAGGUAGCCGUACCGGAAGGUGCGGCUGGAUCACCUCCUUU
rfam:Actinomyces coleocanis DSM 15436 SCAFFOLD1 genomic scaffold, whole genome shotgun sequence.